rnacentral:rRNA from 1 species
GACGAACGCUGGCGGCGUGCUUAACACAUGCAAGUCGAACGGAAAGGCCCUGCUUGCAGGGUACUCGAGUGGCGAACGGGUGAGUAACACGUGGGUGAUCUGCCCUGCACUUCGGGAUAAGCCUGGGAAACUGGGUCUAAUACCGGAUAGGAGCCAUUUUUAGUGUGAUGGUUGGAAAGUUUUUUCGGUGUAGGAUGAGCUCGCGGCCUAUCAGCUUGUUGGUGGGGUAAUGGCCUACCAAGGCGGCGACGGGUAGCCGGCCUGAGAGGGUGGACGGCCACAUUGGGACUGAGAUACGGCCCAGACUCCUACGGGAGGCAACAGUGGGGAAUAUUGCACAAUGGGCGCAAGCCUGAUGCAGCGACGCCGCGUGGGGGAUGACGGCCUUCGGGUUGUAAACUCCUUUCGCUAGGGACGAAGCUUUUUGUGACGGUACCUAGAUAAGAAGCACCGGCGAACUACG